rnacentral:rRNA from 1 species
UCAGACGAUGCGUCAUGUAUAUCAAUAAGCGGAGGAAAAGAAACUAACAAGGAUUCCCCUAGUAACGGCGAGUGAAGCGGGAAGAGCUCAAAUUUGAAAUCUUAAAGGGUUUCCCUUUACGAAUUGUAGUUUAAAGAAGUGUUUUCUGUUGAGGUUUUGGUAAAAGUUCUUUGGAAUAGGACAUCAUAGAGGGUGAGAAUCCCGUAUUUGACCUUUACUUUCAACUUUGUGAUACACUUUCAAAGAGUCGGAUUGUUUGGGGAAUGCAGUCCAAAAUGGGUGGUAAAUUUCAUCUAAAGCUAAAUAUUGGCGAGAGACCGAUAGCGAACAAGUACCGUGAGGGAAAGAUGAAAAGGAACUUUGAAAAGAGAGUUAAACAGUACGUGAAAUUGUCAAAAGGGAAGCGUUUGACACCAGUGUUGUUUUUUCUGAAAAUCAAUUAAAGAACUGUUUAUGCUAAGCUGUUUAGACUUUAUCAGCUAUCUGUUUAGUUUUGAGCUUUUCUUUAAUGCACUUUUCAGUUAACAAGUCAACAUCAAUUUCUUUUGCUGUAAAAAAGCUUGAGGAAGGUGGCUUGAGAUUCGUCUUAAGUGUUUAUAGCCUCUUGCCUAUGCAGUCGGAGAGAUUGAGGUCUGCAGCGUAGAUCCUUCGGGGCUAAAUGCAUUUGUGCUAAGUUAUAGCAUUUUAUAGACAACUUGUUGACUAUGAUUUGUCUUGUAGCUUACUCGCUUAUGUUAUUUUACCUACGCUUAGGAUGUUGAAGUCGUCGUAUCGCGC